rnacentral:rRNA from 1 species
UAAGGAAUAUUGCUCAAUGGGAGAAAUCCUGAAGCAGCAACGCCGUGUGGAGGAUGAAGGGUCUAUGACUUGUAAACUCCUGUAAAGAAGGAAAAAAUUCCCAUUUGAUGGGAGAUGAUGGUACUUCUGGAGUAAGCCCCGGCUAACUACGUGCCAGCAGCCGCGGUAAUACGUAGGGGGCAAGCGUUGUCCGGAUUUACUGGGUGUAAAGGGUGCUCAGGCGGAUUUGUAAGUCAGAGGUGAAAUCUUACAGCUUAACUGUGAAACUGCCUUUGAUACUGCAAGCCUAGAGUAUGGAAGAGAGUGAUGGAAUAUCUGGUGUAGCAGUGAAAUGCGUAGAUAUCAGAUAGAACACCAAUGGCGAAGGCAGUCACUUGGUCCAUUACUGACGCUAAAGCACGAAAGCGUGGGUAGCAAACA